UUCUCAAAGCCACCCGAAAACAGAGGUGCCUCAAUCUGCUUUGUCUACAGAUUCAUCAGAGCCAGAGGAUGCUGUCUGGGAUGGUCCCCUCCACAAGCUCCAGUCAGAGAUGAUGCCAUUCAGAUGACUGACAGACAUGUGCUAUCCCAUGAAGCCUGCCACAUCUGGACGAAGGCAGUAAAACAUAGGUGACAGAUAAACGAGAAGUGAGUAGAAGAUCCAGACAGGGGCCCUUCUGGAAGGCUCCUACAACACCCAUUUGGCUUAUGCACCAUUUAGACUCAAGUGAGAAGAGAUAAAUCACUUUUUCUUUCCUGAUGUUGAAGCUCCUGAGGCCCCUCGGUUGCUCUAGAUGUUUCUGAGGUUACAGCAGGCCACAGCAUGUUCCAGCCUAGGCAGAGGAAAUAGAAAAACCAAUGAGAAAGUGACUCAAGACCCCCUGCUGCUUCUACAGCACCACACCUGGAAAUGGCAGUCUGCAGGCUUCGGGGUUGCACCAUUGCCAGGAAGCUGCCUCCUUUUCUCCCAACCAAAUGAGACAGGCAUCUGAGAUCCAUCCAGCAGAUGGGGAAUAAGAUCAGAAAGGCUCCGGGCAUAGUGAUCACACAGCAUUAAUAAAGUUCUGAGCUAGGACUCAGCCCCAGCAGCCUGACUUGAUUUAAGCUGUGAGUGGCACAUGACAGACCUCAGCGGUCCAUUAGGAGCUUUGUGGAUGUGAAAAGGGAACCUGGGAGCAGGUCAGGGUAGCCUUACAAGAACUUGGGGUUAUUGGAUUUGAGGGGGAUAAGUCAACAAUAUAGCUGAGUCUGUAAUUCAAAGCAGAUAAAGUCAGAGAGUUAGAGGCAGUUGCUGGAGAGAGAGACAGAGACUGAGACAGAGACAGAGGCAGAGGCAGAGGCAGAGAGAGCUCGAAGGAGAUGACUCAUAGUUAAAACACUUACCACUCA